AAAUCUCCCGCCGCGCCCCGCGCCCGUCCCGCCGCCCCCCGCCCGCCUACGGGAGGCAGCAGUGGGGAAUAUUGCACAAUGGGCGCUAGCCUGAUGCAGCGACGCCGCGUGGAGGAUGACGGCCUUGGGGUUGUAAACUCCUUUGGACAGGGACCAAGCGUGAGAGACGGUACGUGUAGAAGAAGCACCGGCGAACUACGUGCCAGCAGCCGGGGUAAAACGUAG
rnacentral:rRNA from 1 species